rnacentral:rRNA from 1 species
GCUACAGGCUUAACACAUGCAAGUCGAGGGGCAGCAUGGUCUUAGCUUGCUAAGGCCGAUGGCGACCGGCGCACGGGUGAGUAACACGUAUCCAACCUGCCGUCUACUCUUGGACAGCCUUCUGAAAGGAAGAUUAAUACAAGAUGGCAUCAUGAGUCCGCAUGUUCACAUGAUUAAAGGUAUUCCGGUAGACGAUGGGGAUGCGUUCCAUUAGAUAGUAGGCGGGGUAACGGCCUACCUAGUCUUCGAUGGAUAGGGGUUCUGAGAGGAAGGUCCCCCACAUUGGAACUGAGACACGGUCCAAACUCCUACGGGAGGCAGCAGUGAGGAAUAUUGGUCAAUGGGCGAGAGCCUGAACCAGCCAAGUAGCGUGAAGGAUGACUGCCCUAUGGGUUGUAAACUUCUUUUAUAAAGGAAUAAAGUCGGGUAUGGAUACCCGUUUGCAUGUACUUUAUGAAUAAGGAUCGGCUAACUCCGUGCCAGCAGCCGCGGUAAUACGGAGGAUCCGAGCGUUAUCCGGAUUUAUUGGGUUUAAAGGGAGCGUAGAUGGAUGUUUAAGUCAGUUGUGAAAGUUUGCGGCUCAACCGUAAAAUUGCAGUUGAUACUGGAUAUCUUGAGUGCAGUUGAGGCAGGCGGAAUUCGUGGUGUAGCGGUGAAAUGCUUAGAUAUCACGAAGAACUCCGAUUGCGAAGGCAGCCUGCUAAGCUGCAACUGACAUUGAGGCUCGAAAGUGUGGGUAUCAAACAGGAUUAGAUACCCUGGUAGUCCACACGGUAAACGAUGAAUACUCGCUGUUUGCGAUAUACUGCAAGCGGCCAAGCGAAAGCGUUAAGUAUUCCACCUGGGGAGUACGCCGGCAACGGUGAAACUCAAAGGAAUUGACGGGGGCCCGCACAAGCGGAGGAACAUGUGGUUUAAUUCGAUGAUACGCGAGGAACCUUACCCGGGCUUAAAUUGCAGAUGAAUUACGGUGAAAGCCGUAAGCCGCAAGGCAUCUGUGAAGGUGCUGCAUGGUUGUCGUCAGCUCGUGCCGUGAGGUGUCGGCUUAAGUGCCAUAACGAGCGCAACCCUUGUUGUCAGUUACUAACAGGUUCCGCUGAGGACUCUGACAAGACUGCCAUCGUAAGAUGUGAGGAAGGUGGGGAUGACGUCAAAUCAGCACGGCCCUUACGUCCGGGGCUACACACGUGUUACAAUGGGGGGUACAGAGGGCCGCUACCACGCGAGUGGAUGCCAAUCCCCAAAACCUCUCUCAGUUCGGACUGGAGUCUGCAACCCGACUCCACGAAGCUGGAUUCGCUAGUAAUCGCGCAUCAGCCACGGCGCGGUGAAUACGUUCCCGGGCCUUGUACACACCGCCCGUCAAGCCAUGGGAGCCGGGGGUACCUGAAGUGCGUAACCGCGAGGAGCGCCCUAGGGUAAAACUGGUGGCUG